UACGGGGGGGGCAAGCGUUGUUCGGAAUUACUGGGCGUAAAGGGUUCGUAGGCGGCUUGCUAAGUCAGACGUGAAAUCCCUCAGCUUAACUGGGGAACUGCGUCUGAGACUGGUGAGCUUGAGUGCAGGAGAGGAACGCGGAAUUCCAGGUGUAGCGGUGAAAUGCGUAGAUAUCUGGAGGAACACCGGUGGCGAAGGCGGCGUCCUGGACUGGACCUGACGCUCAGGAGCGAAAGCGUGGGGAGCGAUCCGG
rnacentral:rRNA from 1 species